GGGGAUCCUAAUGACUCGUAAAGACACUUAAUAAGUCUUUACGAGAUUCAUAAUCACUGAUAGCAUGAAGGAUAGAAGAGUGCAGGGAAUCACUAUGACUCAACUGAACAAGUCAUAAUCAAUCCCUACAACUUCUAGUCAGGAAUCGUAAUGACUGAGGAAGCUUACGCAUAAUAUGAAAAGUUUGUGUUCAGCAUACAAGUGUUGGUAGCGAGUCGUGGCCUAACCCUACGACUAAUUAGAAGGACUCAUAAUAUAGCCAGAAACUAUUGAUCUAAUCUCUAUCUACAUUAUGACUUGGUCAAACGAAAUCUAUUUAAUAUAUAUAUAAUCCGCGCACCCCCC
rnacentral:lncRNA from 1 species